rnacentral:misc_RNA from 1 species
GGCGGCCUUUUAGCCAUUUUCGUCUUUUGAUUUGAUAUUAAAUUGAUCAAAUCGAUGGCAUUUUGGUUAGAUCGACGCGUUGACGUGUGAGUGGCUAUUUGAAUGUUUGUGUUGGCUGGCUCCCUGCUUGCGCAGCGAACGGUCGGUGCAUGCAUAUUUCAGUCGAGUCUGAGACGUGAGACUUGGAUUUUUGUGUUGCCAACCCAAAGGUGGAAUUGAGAUGACUCAGUCCUAUAACUUUUCCUAACAUCCCUUGAGGUGCUUGUCGGACGAUAUAGCUGCCUGUUUUUUCACCAUGCUCUCCCUUUUGGGAACCAUGGAAAAUUUGAUGGUAUUGCUUGUUGCCUUGGAUUCAGAGCACGAAGUGAGCAUGAUGCCCGUCAUCAAUUGCUCAAUAAGAGCUCUCGAUUGCUUGAAAAGAUAGACCGCCGCGCUUGGUUUUUGGGCUGUCGACUCGUCGUUCCAGCUCAAAACCUUGCCGACGUCUCAAUGAAUGCUACCUGGUUGAUCCUGCCAGUAGUCAUAUGCUUGUCUCAAAGAUUAAGCCAUGCA